CUCCCAGGAGACUUUGCUGUAUAAUUGUGAGCUAAGCUUGAGUCAGAAUGAAUAAAUCUCUAAGUACGGGGUUUAGUCACAUCUGUGGGCCGAAAUGUAUUGGCUGAGGAAGAAAGAAGUAAAACAGCACCUUCAGAAUCCCAGACACCAUUCUAAGCCCAAGAUUAAGAUUUGGGGUGCAGCCAACCCUAUCUCUAACUAGAAAUGGGUCCCUCAGCAAGUCCCCUCCCUUCUUCAGUCCAGGUGCCCAUGAGAAAGCUGUGACGGGUGAACCCAAGUGCCUCGGGGCCCUGCCGUACUGUGAUUCCGGAGGUCGGGCAUGUGCACACAAGAGUAGACUGCAGCAUCUGGGCUGAGGGGGCAGCACUCCUGGGGACCUGAUUUCCAGGGGGCGGCCAGGCCAGCAGGAGCACCACCCGUGACAGCUGGCAGCCAAGGCACCCACGCUCUUCAACCCGGAGGCUCUCCCUGACCAGGAAGGGCCUGGGAGAAGUAAGCCUCUUUCUUGGUCUGCUACAGACAUUUAUGCUAAUGGUGCUUCUCUUCCGGGCCUAGCUUUCACCUCCUCUGACAGGUAAUGAACUCCCCAAGUCCAAUUACAGGCCACCUCUUCCAUCCUUCUUUUCUCAAGGAAAAAAAAAAUUGAAAAUAAAAAGUCCAAACACAGAAGGCCCACAGCCAGGCCCUGCAUGUCAGGCCAGUGACAGGCAGGCUGGGCACAGCCUCCCUCUGAUUAAGAGGAUGAGCACCAAGCAGGCCUAGGAGCCCCAGCAAGUCCUCACUACAACUUCUCUCCACACCUCUCAAUGAACAGGCAGCUUGUCAGGAACAAGGAGACGCCGGGCAGGCAGUGGGGCAAGAUUGCAGGCAGGUACCCAGGCUGUCACCACCGCCAGACAGGGCCCGUGUCACCCCACCCUGCCUGCCAGCGCCUGCCCCUGCCGUCUACAUCUUCCCCAGCCUUUCACACACCCCACAUGGUGACAAGUGAGCACUUCCAUCAGCCAAAGAGAGUGCAAGGACUGGGUGGCUUGUGCAACUUCCCUUCAUCCUGCCCUGGAGUGGUCUGGUGCUAGAGGUGACCUGGAGUCCACCUUCCUCAUCCCGUCUUCCCAAAAUCAGUGAUGCCCUCAAGAGAUUUGUGGCAGGCGGACCCGGAGAGUCGCAGGGGCCUCCUAAAUGGCCUGUGAGACAAACUGAGCUUUGGCUGGUACUUUGGGAAUCAUAGAAAAUGAGCAACAGAGGCCUGCUCAGGUGCAGAAAUUGACCAGGCUCUUUGAGUCAAAUCACCCUGGCGCUCCUUGGACCAAUUAACCACACACCUGCUCCUCCCUGCAGAGAUUCUAGGCACCAGCAGAGAUUCUAGGAGGGCCUCACGAUUCCACUCCCGCCCCAGCAUAAUCCCAUGCAUUGAGAUGUCUCACUCCAGGCCCCACAGGGCCUCCUUCUAGCAAGCUGGUCCCUGGUCAAUACCCUUGCUUGCCUCCCACCCUGAACAUCUAACUGCACCUGCUACGUUCCAGACACCAGACUCAGCACUGACAGCAAUACAAAGAAGUAGAAAACAAAGUUACUGCCCUAAAGAGAAUUGAAGUCUAGGAAAUUAAGAGUUCUUUUUCUGCCACUACAAACUCAGGCCAGUGAUGACCUGUGCCUCAGUUGUCCCUCUGAGUCCUUUGGCAAACUGUGCUGUCCUCUCUCAUAAAGACCAGGUAGCGGGAGCUAGCCACUCUUUCAGGGAAUGAUGAUAGUGGAUAUUAAGUACCUACUCAGUGCCACGCACUGGGCAAGAAGUUUGACAAACAUUCCUUAGGUCCCCAAGUGUACUCUUCAAGAGAGGUACUGUCAUCUCCACUAAGAAGUCCUGCCUCUGGGAAGUCAAGCAAACUCUCCACAGUCCCCCAGCGAGUGAGGGCAGAGAGGGGAUUUAAAUCACACACCCCAGAACGUGGUGGAAUCACCCCUGAAUAGAGUGGGUAGUUGAAUCACACUAAUAAUUGGAUAAACUGUCAAGACCAACUUCCACGGCAUUUACUGAACACAUGCAAAAAAAACGCAAUGUUUAGAUUGAUGGCAUAAAUGAGGACAACCUGGAAAGCAAAUAUAGCAAUAUCCAUCAAACUUCUAAAGGCACAAAUCCUACAUACCAGAAAUUUCAUUUAUGUGAAUUUAUCCCACUGUACAAAGAUGCUCAUUGAAGCACCGUUUGUAAUAGAAAAAAAAGCUGGAAUCAACCUAAGUGUCUAUCAAUAGGUAAUAGGUUAAACUGGUUCAUCCAUAAAAUGAAAGAUUAAUACUGUGCAUUCAUUAAAAAGAAUGAGAUAUGCCUGCUGAUACUAUCAUGAAUGCAUGUUUAAAAAUGUUCUUUAAUGAAAAAGCAAGUUUCAAUAUUAUAUGUACAGUAUGAUCCUGCUUACAGUUAAAAGCAUUUUAGGCCGGGCAGGUUGGCUCACUCCUGUAAUCCUAGCACUUUGGGAGGGUGAGGUGAGCAGAUCACCUGAGGUCAGGAGUUCGAGACCAGCCUGGCCAAUGUGGUGAAAUCACGUCUCUACUAAAAAUGCAAAAAUUAGCUGGGCGUAGUGGCGGACGCUUGUAAUCCCAACUACUCAGGAGGCUGAGGUAGAAGAAUUGCUUGAACCCAGGAGACAGAGGUUGCAGUGAGCCGAGACUGCACCACUGCACUCCAGCCUGGGCAACAGAGCGAGACUCCAUCUCAGAAAAAAAAAAAAAAAGCACUUUAUAUAUAACAUACAUACAUACAUAUACAAUAUAUCACACUUAAAAUGCCUAAAACAAGGUGACCCUUUCAACAAGCCCAGGAGGUGUCAAAUGAGGAGACAAGAGCCUCCAGGAGACUAAGCCAUUUCCCCAAAGUCAUUCAACUGGUUCAGGGGACUCGAAGAGAAGUUUUCUGAUGCUGAGCCCAGUGUUCCCCCCAUCAUGUGGACAGGGCUGGAGGGGCAGGCAAGGUUGAGUGAGAGUGCACGGGUCUUUCAGACUCACCACCAGCCCAGGUAGUAUCUCCCAGGAGAAGGCAAGAGGGUGUAAGCCCCAGAAGUAUCUGAGGCUGGAGGGCAAGGCUGAGUCACAGAAGCAUGACAAGAUGAGGAACAACAAAGGGGCUUCCAACAGCUUACUCAGGGGACAAUCCAACGCCAGCCCCACCAACAGGCCUUGGACGCCAGCAAGGCUGAGGGCACUGAAAAUUCCUACAGCCUUCUGAACUCUCAAGCAAUGACUCCAUCAAUCUAUGAAUACUUGUUGAGCACCUAUUCUGGAAAAGGCACAGGAUGGAGCCUCAGAGGAGCCAGAAAAAUGAGCCUGCUGAGCUCUCACUGUCUUCCGUGUGCUGCUGUGUCUCCUCCUAGGACUGUGUUUUCUCUGUGAGGAAUGUGUAAUCCCUCUUGUUGGGGAGAGAACAUGCAAGUGCAUAAAAAUGUAAUUAAACCCGCAGUAGGAGGGGCUAAGAUCCCAGCGGAGUGCCAGGAAUAUGAGUUUUAGGUGCCCAGAGAGAGGAGGAAGGAGAGAAUUCCAAAUGGCUGGCAGAGCCAGGGAAGGGCAUAGCCCUUCGUUCCAUGGGGUUUUGAGCACAAAAGCAAAAAAAAUUCUCCCUGUCUGCCAGCUAUGACAGAGUGGAGUUAAAGCAGGAUUUCACACUGGGGGUUGUGCCUCAAUUAGGGGCGUCAUUAUCUGAAUAUUUAAUUACAUAACAGAAAACAUCAGAUUGCACCACAUGUAGCAAAGGUAAGUCAACACAAAAACACAAGAAAAAUGCGUGCAUCCACAGAUAUACGUGUGUGUGUGUGUGUAUGCUGGGCCACAGCGGAAAAUAUGUUUCUUGCUGUGGAUUAUGGUCCAAGUUUGAAAUACACUGAAAUAGAAUGGAGAGGGAAAUGGCCCUGGAGAAAGGUACUUCAUUUAAGAAGGAAAGGAGUUAGCAAAGGUGAGGACUAAAGAAGAGAGAGAGCAUGGCAACGAUUCCUGGUCUCUAGCUCCCCUCCUGCUGGCGUCCUGCCCACAUCCCUGGCCAGAGUAUGUUCCCUCCAUGCUGGCCUCCCCUAUCCUCUCUGCACCCCCAGUCUGAAUCCUUCCCUUCCUGCAAACUGGCAGUGAUUAUCCCAUGGCCUUGGCUCCUCAGACCUCCCACAUCUCCUAGCACCCCACACCAGGCAUCUCAUUCUUUAAGUGUUUCAUGUGCAAGGCCAGAGAACCCUGGGCCUGGAGUAGCUGUGUGACUUUGGGAAAAUCACUGAGCCUCUCUGAGCCUCUUAAUCUGGCAGCUAUGAAUGAUAACUGAAUGCAUCUUGUCUCUUUUAUAAUACCAUAAACAUCUCUCGAGGGAGAACCGUAUCUUCCACUAAUUUGGUAAACCACUGCCCAUUGGUGUUGUGAGUAGUGCUAGACAUAUGUAGAUACUUGAUAUUGUUACUUAACUUGGAAACUGUGCUGAGUAAAAGGAAAAAGAAAUUAAUUAACAAACACCAACACCAUCACCUUCUAUACUGGCAUGAUAGCAACAGCUGACACACACACAGAACAGAAGAGGCAGUUUAUAAGCAUGCAAGUUAUAUAGUUACACUGUACUCCCAACACACACUCAGAA
rnacentral:lncRNA from 1 species